rnacentral:sRNA from 1 species
GGGAAAAUAGGUGGAAAUUCAAAAAUCAAGUGAAAAAAGGUGGUGACUCAAUUGUUUCGGGUAAGAGACUGCACCCAAGGGCGGAUAAUAGGAGUAUUUCUACUCCUAAUACUGCUCAGGACAGUUUGUAGAUAGUCGAGUAGGACGAGAACUAAGCUUGGAACUGCAUUAUAAAAAGUAAGAGUUCACAGUCUUACAUCCUCUUGGUCAAUUGGAGCCCACGUGUCAGUGCAGAUCAAAACUUAUAUUUUGGUUAUUUGUAUUUCUAUUCAUAUAAUUUUUAUUUUACUUUCAUGUGCGAAAAAUUAU